AUUGAACGCUGGCGGCAUGCCUUACACAUGCAAGUCGAACGGCAGCACGGGAGCUUGCUCCUGGUGGCGAGUGGCGAACGGGUGAGUAAUACAUCGGAACGUACCCUGAAGUGGGGGAUAACGUAGCGAAAGUUACGCUAAUACCGCAUAUUCUGUGAGCAGGAAAGAGGGGGAUCGCAAGACCUCUUGCUUUAGGAGCGGCCGAUGUCGGAUUAGCUAGUUGGUGAGGUAAAGGCUCACCAAGGCGACGAUCCGUAGCGGGUCUGAGAGGAUGAUCCGCCACACUGGGACUGAGACACGGCCCAGACUCCUACGGGAGGCAGCAGUGGGGAAUUUUGGACAAUGGCGCAAGCCUGAUCCAGCCAUGCCGCGUGAGUG
rnacentral:rRNA from 1 species